CGAACGGGUGAGUAGCGCGUGAGCAACCUGCCUAUGACAGUGGGAUAGCCUCGGGAAACCGGGAUUAAUACCGCAUAAAAUCGUAGAAACACAUGUUUUAACGGUCAAAGAUUUAUCGGUCAUAGAUGGGCUCGCGUCUGAUUAGCUAGUUGGUGAGAUAACAGCCCACCAAGGCGACGAUCAGUAGCCGGUCUAAGAGGAUGAACGGCCACAUUGGAACUGAGACACGGUCCAA
rnacentral:rRNA from 1 species